rnacentral:misc_RNA from 1 species
AAGACUAUAGACCUGCGGAGUACCUGCGGAGGGAUCAUUAACGAAUAUCUAUGGCGUUGGUUGUAGCUGGCUCUUAGGAGCAUUUUGUGCACGCCCGUCAUUCAUAUCAUCUUUCCACCUGUGAACUAUGUGUAGGCCUGGAUACCCCUCGCUUUGGCAACAAGGCGGAUACAAGGAUUGCUGCGUCGCAAGGCCGGCUCUCUUUGAAUUUCCAGGUUCUAUGUCUUUUACACACCCCAU